rnacentral:lncRNA from 1 species
GUAUUUCUUAGAGGAAUGUGUCUGUGAGUAAUGCCCAGGGAACCUGGAAAGAAUUUCCAGAUAUAAUUGGCAAAGUGCCCAGACACAAAGAUUUGAUCAAUGGAAUCAGUUCCAGAUCUGCUACAACAAGAACAAUCUGCAGGUUCUCUUCCAAAAGUAACAAUUCUCUCCUUCUUGCAAUUGCAAUUUGGUGUUAAGAAUAAAGGGAAUUAGCAGUGGUGGGACAUGUUGCCUUACCAAAGUUUCAUUCCAUUGCCCUUCUCUGAUAAAAUGUGACACAGUGAGCUGAUCUACUGUUGAUGAACUUAUUACAUGUUUGGGAUGCAGUGUUCUUAUUACAUAUGGUUCUGCUUUGUACAUGUUUGUGAUGCAUUUGUAUGUUUGCCUACUGUUUUCUCCCAUAUUUUAUCAUUCAUAUUUGGGUCUGCUUUGUACAUGUUUGGGAUCAUUUAACUAUUUGCCUACUAUUUUCUCCCAUAUUUAUUUUAUCAUUCAUAUUUUCCUACUGUGACAGUCUUAGAAUACCUGCCCUACUGUUUUCUCCCAGAUUUUAUAGUUUUUGUACAUGUUUAAGGAUCAUUUAACUGUGAAGGGUCUGGGAAGGGGAUGGGAAUUGAACAAUGACUAGUGAGCAUAUGAAAUACAUGAUUCUCUAACUUAUAGUUUAAUUUUGAAUGUGCAGGAAAAUGCUGCUGACUGAAUUUGAUGAAUAGAGGACAGAAGUAAACUCGAUCUAUUGUCGUGAGCGAUAAAGAGUUUUUGUACUAUUAUCAUAAAUGUUGUUUGAAUACAUUUGGUUUUGUGGAAUGUAUUGCUAGUAGAGAUCUUUAAGCAAUUGCUUUCUAUAUGUAUGGGACAUGUUCUCGAAGUUUAUUUAAUUUGAAAUAUAUACUUUCGAAUUAUUUAUAA